CAACUUGAGAGUUUGAUCCUGGCUCAGAACGAACGCUGGCGGCAGGCCUAAUACAUGCAAGUCGAGCGCACCUUCGGGUGAGCGGCGGACGGGUUAGUAACGCGUGGGAAUAUGCCCAAAGGUACGGAAUAGCCUCUGGAAACGGAGAGUAAUACCGUAUGUGCCCUUCGGGGGAAAGAUUUAUCGCCUUUGGAUUAGCCCGCGUUGGAUUAGGUAGUUGGUGGGGUAAUGGCCUACCAAGCCUACGAUCCAUAGCUGGUUUGAGAGGAUGAUCAGCAACACUGGGACUGAGACACGGCCCAGACU
rnacentral:rRNA from 1 species